UAUGCAAAGGAGCAAUGGCCCUAUGCAAAGGAGCAAUGGCCCUAUGCAAAGGAGCAAUGGCCCUAUGCAAAGGAGCAAUGGCCAUAUGCAAAGGAGCAAAGGCCAUAUGCAAAGGAGCAAAGGCCAUAUGCAAAGGAGCAAUGCCAUGUCAAGUCAAGAAUGAAGCAGCAUGCUGCAAAAGUCGACGUGUGCGGAUCAUGUGCCCAGGAGGGGGCAGUGUGGUUACCUUUGGUUAUGGGUGCACGACGGAAAGGUUGCAGGUGUGGACAGUGUUUGGGGCUCUGAUGGUUGGUCUUGCUUAAGAGGUGUGCUGUGGUUGCGGCUUGUCUGGAUCCAGCGUUGUCUUGCGCUUGGUUGCCAUUGAUGGCUCACUUGGGGGAGGACGUGGUUACGUGGAUGGACACAAAACCAAACUUUGCCAUAUGACUUGUACCAUUUUGUGUCUUUUUCUAACCUGCCACUGUCGUACUUGCUGCGUUCUUUGUUCUCCCCCCUCGGUGUAGGGCGGCGUUGGAGCGAGCCGAUCCCGAAUGUCCAAUUUUGCAAUUUGACUUGUGACAUUUUGUCUUUUUCUAACCUACCACUGUUGCACUUGCUCUAACCCUAACCUACCACUGUGAUACUUGCGUUCUUUGUUCUCCCCUAGGUGUUGGAGCGAGACAUUCACAUUUUGUGUCUUUUUCUAACCUACCACUGUCGUGCUUGAUCUAAGCCUAACCUACUACUGUGCGUCCUUUGUUCUCUAGGUGUAGGGGGCGGUGUUGGGGCGAGCCGGUCCACGAGGAAGACGUAAUGAUGCGAGCUGCGCCCAACUCAUUGCAUGUUCUGCCUUUUGCAGGCCGGACGCAAAAGGGGGGGCGGCGCACGGCCCGAUCCGACCCGGCGACGGUCACCAAGAGUAGCUAGCCGCUGUGAUCAAAUGGCGACCGGGACGCGACACCAUCUGAUCAGAGGUGGACGGACCGCUGUGGCAUCGCUCUGAAGUAGCCGAGUUCUGAGGGAGACCCGCUUCCCUGGAGGCGUCGACCUGCGCAGCUUCAACGUGUGAAAUGGAUUUAUUUUAUGUUUUUUUAAAUUCACACCAGCGGUGUCCAAAUGUCUGUUUGAGGGCUGCAUACUGAAACAAAUUCAGAAUUCUUUGACACAAAUUCAUUAAAUCAAUGACGGAAUUUUGCCAUUCAUAUUUUGUGCUACUGCUACAAAGCGGUGUUGUGUUCAUUCAUGUGGUGUGUUGAUAAAGUUGCCCCGAGGCUGCCAUUUGGACACCAAUGGUGACAUGUGUAGGGCUGCACGUGUAUUGGAAAACUGCCACAUGGUGGUAUAGGUUAUUGACAUGCACUUUAAGAAAGCUUUUAAGAUUUUUUUUUAAUGUGGCAAAUGAAACCUGUUUUCUUGCCUAACUAUUUGUAAUGAGUUUAGAAGAUAAGUCAUUGAUGCAAGUUAAAGUUAACUAAUCUAACUGAUCUCAUUGCGAUCAAAUAGUUCACCUCCAUCCCAGAAUUUUGCACAACUUUGCUCAAUGCAACAGUCUGGCCCAAUACUGCCAUAUCACUGAUUUUCCAAAAUGUUGUGCAGCCCUGAUUGAGUGCCAAACGCGCAGCGGCGGCAAGCGACCGCGCAAGCGACCGCGCAAGCGACCGCGCAAGCGACCGCGCAAGCGACCGCGCAAGCGACGGCAAGCGCAAGCGACGGCAAGCGCAAGCGACGGCAAGCGCAAGCGACGGCACGCGCAAGCGACGGCACGCGCAAGCGACGGCACGCGCAAGCGACGGCACGCGCAAGCGACGGCACGCGCAAGCGAGACAUUUGUGCUUGUCUUGCAAGGUGGAAGAGACGAUGCACGAAACGAAGAGCCGGCGGACGGAGGCCACCAGACCAGUGAGCAGGGUGCAAAGGAAGGAAUCACCCAAAGAAAGCAGUUGCCAAGUGAUGAAGAGGAGCCUGACGCAUGACUGGCCAAGGCUGGCCAGAGGUGACAUGGCAAUCCAAUAUGCAAGGGUAGUGUACACACUUGUUGGUUUUAAUUUAGUUUCCUUAUUUGUCUGCCUUUCAGGGUUGCCGGGGCAGCGGAUGGGACGAGCGCCAGCCUGCACCGAGAGGUACCGGGCCGCACCCACAAGACCAGGGAGGGGGCAGGUAAUGAGUUGCUAGUGGAAAUUUUCCUCUUGCCAAAACCACCACAAUAUGUCUGCCUUUCAGGAUUGCCGAGGCAGCUGAUCGGACGAGUGCCUGCACAGAGAGGGACCGGAGCGCGAGACCAGAGGUUGCGCGAGGCGGAGGAUGAGUCCAAACGUCGAAUACGGGCCGGGAGGGGACCCGAACCAUCGGCCGACCUUCGCCCGUGACGAGCGGCCUACACGAGACGGACGGACGGACGGGUGCAGAUGCGGCGAGGGCAAAGUGCCCAGCCAGCAUUUAAGGAGAGUAUCACUUUGGUUUUCCUUUUUGUGCUUUCUUUCUUUCACUCCCUCCACCUUUUCACUGGGUGUGCACACUGGCUGUCUGCAUGAUGCCUCUUUCUUUCUCAGCGCGUCAUUUUGCAAUAUUGUUUUAUUGUUGUGUUUUUUUUAAUACAUGAAGUGAACUGUUUGGACUGUAAUUGUGUGUACCUCUGAACCUGAAUUAAACUGUGAACUGAGUUCAAGUGGUCCAUUUUAAACAUUGGCAUGCGCAGUCUAUAGUGCAUAAUCAGAGUUACAUGACAGCAUACAAACUGGAAUCAUUUGAGACAUUCUCAAUGAUCAGGCAAUUGUAAAGUUAGUCUCAAACAAAAUUGUCUUGUUAAAUAUGCAGUGUCAGGCUUUUUAUUUUUACUCCACAAAGAAAAGCUGUAUGCAUUCUAAAUGGUUGACAAAAGCCAAGUAGCCUGACACCCAUAGAUUCAAACGACAAGCGUAAGUGUACAGUGUCGUGAUACAUAAGUCUUCUUUGGCAACCCUGCUUUAAAAUGGCCACCGAACUCAAUCUUGCUUUAUGUUGGUGCAUUUUUCUGUAUGAGUAAAAGUCCAUUUUAAUCAAGUCUGGCUUUUUUUUUUUAAAUCAUGCAUGUGGGCAUUCUUGUGAAUAAAGUCCACGUUGGUGUGUUUUCUUCCGGUUUGUGGUCUUGUAAAUAAAGUCAACUUUGGUGUCAGUCAUCAUUCACGAUGCACCUCAA